rnacentral:rRNA from 1 species
AUAGGUAUGCUUAGGGAGGAGCUUGCGUCACAUUAGUUAGUUGGUGGGGUAAAGGCCUACCAAGACUAUGAUGUGUAGCCGGGCUGAGAGGUUGAACGGCCACAUUGGGACUGAGACACGGCCCAAACUCCUACGGGAGGCAGCAGUAGGGAAUUUUCGGCAAUGGAGGAAACUCUGACCGAGCAACGCCGCGUGAACGAUGAAGUAUUUCGGUACGUAAAGUUCUUUUAUUAGGGAAGAAUAAAUGAUGGAAAAAUCAUUCUGACGGUACCUAAUGAAUAAGCCCCGGCUAACUAUGUGCCAGCAGCCGCGGUAAUACAUAGGGGGCAAGCGUUAUCCGGAAUUAUUGGGCGUAAAGGGUGCGUAGGCUGUUAAAUAAGUUUAUGGUCUAAGUGCAAUGCUCAACAUUGUGAUGCUAUAAAAACUGUUUAGCUAGAGUAAGAUAGAGGCAAGUGGAAUUCCAUGUGUAGUGGUAAAAUGCGUAAAUAUAUGGAGGAACACCAGUAGCGAAGGCGGCUUGCUGGGUCUUUACUGACGCUGAGGCACGAAAGCGUGGGGAGCAAACAGGAUUAGAUACCCUGGUAGUCCACGCCGUAAACGAUGAGUACUAAACGUUGGGUAAAACCAGUGUUGAAGUUAACACAUUAAGUACUCCGCCUGAGUAGUACGUACGCAAGUAUGAAACUUAAAGGAAUUGACGGGACUCCGCACAAGCGGUGGAUCAUGUUGUUUAAUUCGAANGUACCCGAAAAACCUCACCAGGUCUUGACAUGCUUCUGCAAAGCUGUAGAAACACAGUGGAGGUUAUCAGUUGCACAGGUGGUGCAUGGUUGUCGUCAGCUCGUGUCGUGAGAUGUUGGGUUAAGUCCCGCAACGAGCGCAACNCUUAUUGNUAGUUGCCANCACGUAAUGG